rnacentral:tmRNA from 1 species
GGGGAUGUAAUGGUUUCGACGGGAGUCUUGAAAGUAGGGAUAGCCAUCCGCAGGCCGGUGAACUGCGUCAUCAAGCCGGAAACUUUUCUAAAAAGAAACGACAACAAUAAAUUAGCAUACGCUGCCUAAUUGCGGCAGCUGUCAACCCCCCGGAUUCCUGCCGCCGGGGAGCUUGGCAUCGACUUGGCGGGGCACUUUUUCGCUUAAGCUUUGCGGCGGAAAAAGACUCAUGAAGCUACCAAGGAACAUAGCCUGUCAUUCGGCGAUGGUCUGAGGGAAUUCUAAAAGACUGACUGUGAUGGGAGAAGUUCUUACAGAUGGGUUUUCGGACAGGGGUUCGACUCCCCUCAUCUCCAUUC